UUUCCGUAGGUGAACCUGCGGAAGGAUCAUUAACACUUACCAAUAUUUUUAAAUAUAAACUACAACCUUGUAUUGUAAUGUAUUAAAAAAAAAAGAAUUAAUUUUUUUUUUUUUUUUUUUUUUUAUUAUAACCUUUUUUUUUAAAAAAAAGGGGAAAUGAAAAAAAAAAAAAAAUUAAAAAAUUUUUUUUUUUAUUAAAUUUUUAAUUAACUACAUUUAAUUUUUAAAUUGGUUUAUUUUUAUUAUUAUUAUUAUUUUUUUUUAAUUUUAUUAUUUACUUAAUAAAAUGAUAAAAAAAAAAAAAAUAUUUAAUAUUAGAACAAAAAAUUUAAUAUAAAAAACAACUUUUAACAACGGAUAUCUUGGUUCUC
rnacentral:misc_RNA from 1 species